CCUACGGGAGGCAGCAGUAGGGAAUAUUGCUCAAUGGGGGAAACACUGAAGCAGCAACGCCGCAUGGAGGAUGAAGGUUUUCGGAUUGUAAACUCCUUUUGUUAGAGAAGAUAAUGACGGUAUCUAACGAAUAAGCACCGGCCCACUACGUGCCAGCAGCCGCCGUAAUACGGAGGGUGCAAGCGUUACUCGGAAUCACUGGGCGUAAAGAGCGCGUAGGCGGGAUAGCAAGUCAGAUGUGAAAUCCUAGGGGUUAACCAUAGAACGGCAUUUGAAACUGUUAUUCUAGAGUAUGGGAGAGGUAGGUGGAAUGCUUGGUGUAGGGGUAAAAUCCGUAGAGAUCGAGAGGAAUACUCAUUGCGAAGGCGACCUGCUAGAACAUAACUGACGCUGAUGCGCGAAAGCGUGGGGAGCGAACAGGAUUAGAUACCCCUGUAGUC
rnacentral:rRNA from 1 species